rnacentral:rRNA from 1 species
GACGAACGCUGGCGGCGUGCCUAAUACAUGCAAGUAGGACGCAGUUGCGAACGUGUUAGUAACGCGUAUGUCACUGCCUAUUAGAGGGGGAUAACUAUUGUAAACGAUAGCUAAUACCGCAUACUCGUAGAUGGACCUGCUUUGUAUUGGGUAGUCUGUAGGGUAAUGGCCUACCUAGGCGACUAUACAUAGCCGAGCCGGGGGGGUGGACGGCCAAACCGGGAACUAGAACCGGGCCAGAACUCCAAGGGGAGCAGCAGUAGGGAAUCUUCGGCAAUGGGGGGAAACCUGAACGAGCAAAGCCGCGGGAGAGAAGAAGGGUUUCGGAUCGGAGAGCUAUGUUGUUAAGGAAGCGGUACUUAACCAGAAAGGGACGGCUAACUCCGUGCCAGCAGCCGCGGUAAUAC